rnacentral:rRNA from 1 species
GAUGAACGCUAGCGAUAGGCCUAACACAUGCAAGUCGAGGGGCAUCACAUGAAGUAGCAAUACGGAUGGUGGCGACCGGCGCACGGGUGAGUAACACGUAUGCAACCUGCCUUCAACAAGGGGAUAACCCGUUGAAAGACGGACUAAUACCCUAUAACACAGGGGUCCCGCAUGGGAAUAUUUGUUAAAGGACAACCGGUUGAAGAUGGGCAUGCGUUCCAUUAGCUAGUUGGCGGGUAACGGCCCACCAAGGCAACGAUGGAUAGGGGAACUGAGAGGUUUAUCCCCCACACUGGUACUGAGACACGGACCAGACUCCUACGGGAGGCAGCAGUGAGGAAUAUUGGUCAAUGGACGCAAGUCUGAACCAGCCACGUCGCGUGAAGGAAGACGGCCCUACGGGUUGUAAACUUCUUUUAACGGGAAUAAAGUGCCC